AGAUUCAGUGCAAAAUAUUGCUACCUACGGCUUAUGAAAAGUCUUUACAAAAGGACUGUGUAUUGAAAACUCUUUAGACAAACACGUACCCACGGCUUGAUGAAAAGUCUUUAACAAAGACUGUUAAUCAAAACAGAUUCAUUGGUUAACUACCCACAGCUUUAUGAAGGUUCUUGAGACAAUAUUGAUACCUGCGGCUUUAUGAAGAAGAGUCUUGAGACAAUAUUUCUACCUACGGCUUGAGAAAUAUCCUUAAGCAAGGAGUCUUUAGACAAGAAAAAGCUCUGAAUCUGUUGGGUGGAUAAAACGACCAACUACCCACUGAAUAUCCACAGCUUAUGGAGAGUUCUUGGACAAUAUUGCUACCCACGGCUUAAUAAAAGUUGCGUGUUGGAAGGGAACAAACUACCCACGGCUUUGAAAGGUCUUAGACAAAUAUUGUGGUUAGGUUUUCUGAGUUUUUUCUGCUGUAAAGACGACCAGCGGUUAAAGAAG
rnacentral:lncRNA from 1 species